rnacentral:rRNA from 1 species
GACGAACGCUGGCGGCGUGCUUAACACAUGCAAGUCGAACGGAAAGGCCCUGCUUUUGUGGGGUGCUCGAGUGGCGAACGGGUGAGUAACACGUGAGUAACCUGCCCUUGACUUUGGGAUGACUUCAUGAAACUGGGGCUAAUACCGGAUAGGAGCUCCUGCUGCAUGGUGUUGGUUGUAAAGUUUCGGCUGGUUGGGAUGGACUCGCGGCUUAUCAGCUUGUUGGUGGGGUAGUGGCUUACCAAGGCUUUUGCGGGUAGCCGGCCUGAGAGGGUGACCGGCACCAUUGGGAAUGAGAUACGGCACAGAGUCCUACGGGAGGCAGCAGUAGGGAAUAUUGUACGAUGGGCGGAAGCCUGAUGAAGCAACGCCGCGUGAUGGAUGGCGGCCUUCGGGUUGUAAACCGCUUUCGCCUGUGACGAAGCGUGAGUGACGGUAAUGGGCAAAGAAGCACCGGCUAACUACGUG